UACGUAGGGGGCAAGCGUUAUCCGGAUUUACUGGGUGUAAAGGGAGCGUAGACGGCGAAGAAAGUCUGAAGUGAAAGCCCGCGGCUCAACCGCGGAAUGGCUUUGGAAACUUUUUUGCUGGAGUACCGGAGAGGUAAGCGGAAUUCCUAGUGUAGCGGUGAAAUGCGUAGAUAUUAGGAGGAACACCAGUGGCGAAGGCGGCUUACUGGACGGUAACUGACGCUGAGGCACGAAAGCGUGGGGAGCAAACAGG
rnacentral:rRNA from 1 species